rnacentral:sRNA from 2 species
AUUAAUAAAGGGACAUUUCAAUUUUAAAGCGGGGGAACCAAUUUUUGUGCAAUUGUACUUUGGGGUGAAUCCUUUUUAGGUAGGGCUACUUUUUAGGUCCGAAUCCGACAGCUAACCUCGUAGGCGUGUAGGGAGAAGGU